rnacentral:rRNA from 1 species
GACGAACCGUGCGAACGUUGUUCGGAAUCACUGGGCUUAAAGGGCGCGUAGGUGGCCUUCUAAGUUGAACGUGAAAUCCCUGGGCUCAACCGGGGAACUGCGUCUGAUACUGGACGGCUUGAGUUUGGGAGAGGGACGCGGAAUUCCAGGUGUAGCGGUGAAAUGCGUAGAUAUCUGGAGGAACACCGGUGGCGAAGGCGGCGUCCUGGACCAACACUGACACUGAGGAGCGAAAGCCAGGGGAGCAAACAGG